UACUCCUACGGGGAGGCAGCAGUGGGGAAUAUUGCACAAUGGGGGAAACCCUGAUGCAGCCAUGCCGCGUGUGUGAAGAAGGACCUUCGGGUUGUAAAGCACUUUCAGUAGGGAGGAAGGUAGUGUAGUUAACACCUGCAUUAUUUGACGUUACCUACAGAAGAAGCACCGGCUAACUCCGUGCCAGCAGCCGCGGUAAUACGGAGGGUGCGAGCGUUAAUCGGAAUUACUGGGCGUAAAGCGCAUGCAGGCGGCCUGUUAAGUCAGAUGUGAAAGCCCGGGGCUUAACCUCGGAAUUGCAUUUGAAACUGGCAGGCUAGAGUCUUGUAGAGGGGGGUAGGAAUUUCAGGUGUAGCGGUGAAAUGCGUAGAGAUCUGAAGGAAUACCAGUGGCGAAGGCGGCCCCCUGGACAAAGACUGACGCUCAGAUGCGAAAGCGUGGGGACGCAAACAGGAUUAGAUACCCUGGUAG
rnacentral:rRNA from 1 species